UACGUAGGGGGCAAGCGUUGUUCGGAAUUACUGGGCGUAAAGGGCGCGUAGGUGGCCAACUAAGUCAGACGUGAAAUCCCUCGGCUUAACCGGGGAACUGCGUCUGAUACUGGAUGGCUUGAGUUUGGGAGAGGGACGCGGAAUUCCAGGUGUAGCGGUGAAAUGCGUAGAUAUCUGGAGGAACACCGGUGGCGAAGGCGGCGUCCUGGACCAAUACUGACACUGAAACGCGAAAGCCAGGGGAGCAAACGGG
rnacentral:rRNA from 1 species